UGGGGAAUUGUUCGCAAUGGGCGCAAGCCUGACGACGCAACGCCGCGUGGAGGAUGAAGACCUUCGGGUCGUAAACUCCUUUCGAUCGAGACGAAUGGCCUCCGGGUGAACAAUCCGGAGGAGUGACGGUACCGAGAGAAGAAGCCCCGGCCAACUACGUGCCAGCAGCCGCGGUAAGACGUAGGGGGCGAGCGUUGUCCGGAUUUAUUGGGCGUAAAGAGCUCGUAGGCGGUUGCGUAAGUCGGAUGUGAAAACUCAGGGCUCAACCCUGAGACGCCAUCCGAUACUGCGCUGACUUGAAUCCAGUAGGGGAGUGUGGAAUUCCUGGUGUAGCGGUGAAAUGCGCAGAUAUCAGGAGGAACACCCAUGGCGAAGGCAGCACUCUGGGCUGGUAUUGACGCUGAGGAGCGAAAGCAUGGGUAGCGAACAGGAUUAGAUACCCACGUAGUCCCUGAGCGGGCUGGCAAGGCGCAU
rnacentral:rRNA from 1 species